GGAGUCGGCCGGACAGCCGCUGUGUCGCAAUCGGCACAGAGGAAAGUCCGGGCUCCGACGGGCAGGGUGCCAGGUAACGCCUGGGGGGCGCAAGCCUACGGAAAGUGCCACAGAAAAUAUACCGCCAGCGGCGGCUGCCGUUGGUAAGGGUGAAAUGGUGCGGUAAGAGCGCACCGCGCCGCUGGCAACAGCGGCGGCAGGGUA
rnacentral:RNase_P_RNA from 1 species